GACGAACGCUGGCGGCGUGCCUAAUACAUGCAAGUAGAACGCUGAAGAGAGGAGCUUGCUCUUCUUGGAUGAGUUGCGAACGGGUGAGUAACGCGUAGGUAACCUGCCUUGUAGCGGGGGAUAACUAUUGGAAACGAUAGCUAAUACCGCAUAACAAUGGAUGACACAUGUCAUUUAUUUGAAAGGGGCAAUUGCUCCACUACAAGAUGGACCUGCGUUGUAUUAGCUAGUAGGUGAGGUAAUGGCUCACCUAGGCGACGAUACAUAGCCGACCUGAGAGGGUGAUCGGCCACACUGGGACUGGGACACGGCCCAGACGCCUACGGGAGGCAGCAGUAGGGAAUCUUCGGACAUGGGGGCAACCCUGACCGAGCAACGCCGCGUGAGUGAAGAAGGUUUUCGGAUCGUAAAGCUCUGUUGUAAGUCAAGAAAGGGUGUGAGAGUGGAAAGUUCACACUGUGACGGUAGCUUACCAGAAAGGGACGGCUAACUACGUG
rnacentral:rRNA from 1 species